CGCAGGCGCGGGGACGCGCCUCACCCCACCCCGGGAUCGCGCACCUGAGGGGGCACGGUGGGCUCGACCUUCAGAUGGAGUGGGUUAGCCGAGAGAUCCUGCUAGAGUCUGUCACAGGAAGCUGUCAAACCACAAGUGUUUAAGUAAACACAGGAUUUGCCUGUGUGCCUGCUGGGGAAUUCACUGAAUGAGGGAGGUGGGGCUGAGCAGUGGAGCUUCAUCCAAAAGACAUUCCCAUGGGACAGAGAACCUGCCUGGAAGCCUCACCCCAAAGUCACUGGCUGGAAGGAACAGCAACCCUCAGGUGCAUAAUCCUGCAUCAUCCAGGAGCCCAUGGAAGCAGGAGGGGCAUGCUUUCAGGGCCCCUGCAGGGAUGUACUAAGAACUGAGAAAAGGUGUGGAUUUUUUGAGGCGCUGCUUGGUUACAAAUAGUGCUGAUCAACUCAUAAAUUCCAGCACUGGGACAGCUGGCAGAAGCUUUCAGGCAGAAUGAAAGUCACAAUUGAAAAUCAGUUCUGAAACUGAUGAAAACUGCAGUGGGAUGCUGCAGGAGUAUUGGAGAGAGAUGUAUGAUUUUUAUGCAUCAGAAUGCUGUCAUUUGCAAUUGUUUCAGGCUCAGUGUGUGUCACUUCAGAGUGGUAGAGCUACUAGGCACAAUGUACCAUUGACCUUAAAAAGAUUAUUUGUUAA